rnacentral:ncRNA from 2 species
AUCUUAUCGAGAGUGGCGGAGGGAUAGGCCCGAUGAAGCCCGGCAACCGAUUUGUAUACAGCGCGAUUAGCGUUAUGUACAAAUGUCAUGGUGCUAAUUCCUACAAUGACGCAAGGUUUGUGGUCGUUGGCAGAUGAGAA